CAGAGACACAGACCGGUAGCUACAUCACUACUAUCGGAGUGGAUUUCAAGAUUCGGACGGUCGAUGUUAAUGGGAAGAAGGUGAAGCUGCAGAUCUGAGAAACUGCCGGGCAAGAACGAUUCCAUACAAUCACGUCUACGGUUUAGGAGCCGUUGCUGUGGACGGAGAGACGGGGG